rnacentral:tRNA from 1 species
AGUUAAUAAGUUUAAUUAAAUUUAUGUUUUGAAAACAUAAGAUAUAAGUAAAAUCUUAUAUUAACUU